rnacentral:rRNA from 1 species
UACGUAGGGGGCGAGCGUUGUCCGGAUUUAUUGGGCGUAAAGAGCGUGUAGGCGGCCAGGUAGGUCUGCUGUGAAAACUCGAGGCUCAACCUCGAGACGUCGGCGGAAACCAUCUGGCUAGAGUCCGGAAGAGGAGAGUGGAAUUCCUGGUGUAGCGGUGAAAUGCGUAGAUAUCGUAAGGAAGACCAGUGGCGAAGGCGGGUCUCUGGACAGUUCCUGACGCUGAGGCACGAAGGCCAGGGGAGCAAACGGG